rnacentral:rRNA from 1 species
GAUGAACGCUAGCGGCAGGCUUAACACAUGCAAGUCGUGGGGCAGCGCGGGUAGCAAUACCUGGCGGCGACCGGCAAACGGGUGCGGAACACGUACGCAACCUCCCUCAAAGCGGGGAAUAGCCUCUCGAAAGAGAGAUUAAUACCCCAUAGUAUCCCGAAGUCACAUGACUUUGGGAUUAAAGCUCCGGCACUUUGAGAUGGGCGUGCGGCUGAUUAGGUAGUUGGUAGGGUAACGGCCUACCAAGCCGACGAUCAGUAGCUGAUGUGAGAGCAUGAUCAGCCACACGGGCACUGAGACACGGGCCCGACUCCUACGGGAGGCAGCAGUGAGGAAUAUUGGUCAAUGGAGGAAACUCUGAACCAGCCAUGCCGCGUGGAGGAUGAAGGUCCUCUGGAUUGUAAACUCCUUUUAUAAAAGAAGAAACCCCAUUUUUCUAAAUGGGUUGACGGUACUUUAUGAAUAAGCACCGGCUAACUCCGUGCCAGCAGCCG